GGCACUUUGGCGGAGUGGUUAACGCGAUGCCCUGCUAUUAAGUCAGGCAUUUCCUUCGGGAGCGUGUGUUCGAAUCACACAGGUGUCG
rnacentral:tRNA from 2 species